ensembl:lncRNA
CUCUGAGCUUCCUUCAGUGGCGUGAUGUGAUCCACCGGCAAGGGGGGGAUGCCAAUGGAAGGUGUCCGAUAAGUUCCUCCUCCCUCCUCUUCUCUUGAUCUGUCUGUUUGCUACAAUGUAUGGAUCAGAGAUUACAUUCUGGUUCCCCUUUUUACUCUUAUCCAGUCCUGCUUGUUUCUAUACCUGUAUACUUACCUAAUUCUGUAUACAACUUAAAUUAAACUGUGCUAAGUCUCAUAUUUCUAAAUUGCUAUGUAUCUUAAAAUGAUGGUAAACAUUUAAAGUCAUAAAGGUCUAGUUUAACUAUACUUAAAAUAUAAGCUAAGUCUAUACAACUUAAAUUUAACUCAUGUAUCUUUAAAUGAUGAUGAAAGUUUAAAAUCAUAAAGGUCUAUUUCAAAUUAACAAAAUAUUAUACCACUCAGUUCAUCCUGUAAGCUGUUUACAAGGGUACAGCUUUUUUUAUUACAAAAGGGGAUUUUUCUCUAACUAAAGGCAAACUUUUGACUGCUGAGAUACUAAACAGACAGACAGCCCUCAAAUGCUCAGAGAUCUAGAGAACAUGGCAUUUAAAACGUUUUGUUAAAAAGCUUUUUAUAACAGAGAGAUAGGCCAGCUGCUGGCCCCACCCCAUUUCCUCCAAGAAGACUAAUGGGCACUGAAGAAACUUCAUCUCGAGUCAGUGACAAUGCUGGUCACUGAGCAACCCUGCCCUACACCUCACUCCAGGCCGUGGACAAGAGGACAGUGGAAUCAACUUUCCCUGUGUUGCUUGGACCAACAGUAGGCAAGUCUUCCUAUAGCCUGUAAUCCAUAGGUCACAUGCUAUCAGCAAGAAGGCAGGUGUCCUGCAGCCCACUACUGUGGAUGGAGGAUCUUGGGAUGGCUGUCCAUGCAGCCUGCUGGCAAGUCUCUGUUAUUCUUUAAUCAUUGAUUCAGGUAAAAUCUUAUCCUUCUCAAGAACUCUGAUGCUUCUGACAACUGGUAGUUUGCCAGCUUAAAGCAAAACAGAUUUCAGGAACAGGUAUUUUGGAGUUUAUCUAUGUGAAGAUAGUAAAGUGUAAGAGUUAUGAAGGUCUGGGAAUGUAGUUAUGAAGGUCUGAGGAUGGAAGGUAUAAAGGUCUGAGAAUGGAAGGUCUAAGAUGGUAAUGUAAGAUAUAUGAAUUAAAGUUAUGAAAGUCUGAGGAUAAAAAGGCUUAAGUGAUGAUAAAGUGAGUUAAGACAUUAAAAAGAAUAAAAUAUGUUCCUGAUUUCUCUAUUUCUCAUGCUACUGUUCAUAGUAAACUUCUACAAUACCACUGUACUAUCAUAACUAUUAGGUCAAGAUUAAGAUGCUUUUCAUUGUCCUAAAAAAUAUCUGUCAAUUUUAAAAUGGUAAUGCUUUCAGCCAAGUUGCUUCUAACAUGAAUAUGCUGCUAAUGUGUCUAAUACUUAUGUUUCCACAAGCUCUAAGGAUUCUUGUAAGUUCCAGGGAGUUGAAUUGGAUCCAAACAUACAGGUCAGAUUCAUUCCAGUUAUUCAAUCUUUCCCUGGUCCCAGGGCUCCCUGCUCUCAUGUUGGGACUCCUAGGGAAUGCCUCCCUCAUCUUAUAAUCUUCCCCUCAAGUGACAGGACCUAAGAAAUUUUUUUUUUCUAAACUUAACCUUGUCCUCUGCUGCCAACAUCUUGACAGGUCUAAGAGACGCCAGGGAGUCCCAUACAGCCUGGACCACAAUGAAACAACCAUCUACCCCAGGACGUGGCAGCACCCCAAUCUUCUCAGAUCCCCCCAAAGACGAUCAACGCCCCAGGUCAGCAGGAAGCAGCCUUGAGAUUUCUUCGUCCCUACUUCCUAACCUGCCACAUCCAAUUCUCCAACUUUUAUAAUAAACAACAGCCGGGAUUGUAAGAACAAUACACCUGGAUGACCCCGCCCCCCUAACAACAAGCAGGGCACACACAGGAAAACUUGCUACGUCAUCACCACAUCACCCGCCAUGCAUUGCGGCCUUCGUGAGGACUCUGCAUAUGUGCGAAACCUCAGUGUGCAUGCGUAGUCUUUCCCUUAAAAGCAACAACUUCCCUGCUGCUCUCUCUUUUACUCUCUCUCUCUGUUUCUUCUUGGCUCUCUCUCACCUAGGCGCUUUUUCUGCCUCUCUGUGGCAACUGGCCAUGGCGGUCAGCCAUUACCCCUGUUCCUCUUCUCUCUUAGUCUCUCUACUCUGCCGAGCUUAUAAUGAAGGACUUUAGAAUUAACAAAGAAAUAACUAAGAAGAAAAACAAUCCUCUCACCCUAAGAACAGGGAGACCUGACUUAAAACCUAACCAAGGUCACAAUGACCCAAGCCCCUGGAAUUUCUUAGCUGGCAGAUAUAACUCCCUUACAAGGCCACAAGACAACCUAACUGAAUACCAAGAAUUCCUAGAGGGCCACCCUGCCCUAGGGUCAUGAAGAUAGAAACAGACUAUCCCACUGAGCCAGGAGACCAUCCGGCCCCAAAGAUAAGAGAUCUCCAAAGGAUCUGUGACUCUGGUCACGUACCCAAACCCCUAAAAGCCUAUGGUUUUUUCUCCUAUAAAAGGAGCCUGCUUUAGAGGAACAGGGCUUCUUCUUUGUCUGUCGGACUGGGAAGCCCGUUUGCGCAAACGUCCCAUAAUAAACUUACCUCUUGUUUUUGCAUCAGCUGGACUGGACAUUGAGUGUUUUGGGGGGGAUCGUCCGAUUUGUAGAGACUCCUCGGUCCGAGGGUCUUUCAUUAAUAAACUAGUUAAUAUGUCUCAUCUGCCUCUCUCUUUUUCUUCAAAAACAUAACACUCCCAUCCCACCUCCCAUCUGCUCCUCAGAGAGGGUAAGGCCUCCC